GAAAGUAAAAGUCGUAACAAGGUUUCCGUAGGUGAACCUGCGGAAGGAUCAUUAUUGUAUAACCGAGGUGCGAGGGCUGUCGCUGACCCGAAAGGUCGUGCACGCCCGAGUGCCCUCACACACAUCCAUCUCACCCCUAUGUGCACCACCGCGUGGGUCCCCCUUUGGCUUGUUCGGAGGGGGGCUUACGUUUUCACACAAACUUUGUAUGCAGUGUAGAAUGUAUUUUUUGUUUUUGCGAUCACGCAAUCAAUACAACUUUCAACAACGGAUCCCUUGGCUCUC
rnacentral:misc_RNA from 1 species